rnacentral:rRNA from 1 species
UACGUAGGGGGCAAGCGUUGUCCGGAAUUAUUGGGCGUAAAGAGCGUGUAGGCGGCCAGAUAAGUCCGCUGUGAAAUCUCGAGGCUCAACUUCGAGCUGUCGGUGGAAACUAUCUGGCUAGAGUCCGGAAGAGGAGAAUGGAAUUCCUGGUGUAGCGGUGAAAGUGCGCAGAUAUCAGGAAGAACACCCGUGGCGAAGGCGGUUCUCUGGGGACGGUACUGACGCUGAGACGCGAAAGCGUGGGGAGCGAACAGG